rnacentral:tRNA from 1 species
UGCGGGGUAGAGCAGUUGGUAGCUCGUCGGGCUCAUAACCCGGAGGUCGCAAGUUCGAGUCCUGCCCCCGCUA